GUGUGCGCAGGCGAGACCGUUUUUUAUGAACGAAAUUUAGAUGGCCCGAAUUGGAGCCUUGGGAUGACACAAAUUGGGAGCCAAGGCGACGUGUCACAGGAAAUUGGUUGCACAAGUGGGAAGAUGGAUGACAUCCCUCGGACAGAAACCGAACGUUCCGGCGAUAUGGAGGCUACCACAGACUUGAGCAUGGUUAUAAUGGUAGACCCAGUUAGCUCCUAUGACCCGGCCAUUGCAAUCCACAAAGGUCAAACUGGGCUGGGAUCUUGUGG